rnacentral:rRNA from 1 species
CGUUAGACAAUCUUCUGGAGGUAGAGAUACUGAAUGAUCCUCCGUGGUCUUUGGCCAGGUUGAUCAAUCAAACUCCGAAUGCCAGAAGUUAAUGUGUCUAAUAGUUAGCUCCUGGGGGCUAAGCUCCAGGCGCAAGAGGGAAACAACCCUGACCUUCGUCUAAGGUCCCAAAAUUCAAACUAAGUGCACUCAAGGAAGUCAAUUCUCACAGAUAGUUAGGAGGUUAGCUUAGAAGCAGCUAUCCUUUAAAAAGUGCGUAACAGCUUACUAAUUAAGAGAGUUGGCACCGAAGAUGUAUCGGGGCUAAAGUUUGAUACCGAAGACAAGGAUUUAAAUUGAAUUUAUUCUAAUUUAAGUGGUAGGGAAGCGUUCCAUGUGCAGCGAAGGUGAGCCGUGAGACUUGCUGGAGCGCAUGGAAGUGAGAAUGCUGGCAUGAGUAACCGCAAUUCAGAUGAAAACUCUGAACACCGAAAAUCCAAGGUUUCCUUGGCAAUGUCAAUCAGCCAAGGGUUAGUCGGUCCUAAGGCGUACCCCAAGGGGGAAGCCGAUGGACAGUUGGUUAAUAUUCCAACACUUUGCAUUAGUUUCUAAUUAUCGACGAGAUUUAGUAGUUUGGGUGUGUUAUUGAUUUCACAUUUAUGCCGUAAAGCAAUAAGCGGCGUAUGAAGUCUGGUCCUCGGAUCGGGCAACCCAAAUGAGCAAGUCUACGAGAAAAUUUAAUUAGAGUUAACUAGUGUAAAACCGUACCUUAAACCGACACAGGUGGAUUAGUGCUAGAAUACUAAGGUGUACGAGUGAAUUCUCGUUAAGGAACUUUGCAAUAAAGCGGCCGUAACUUCGGUAUAUGGCCUCCCAGCCCUGCGGCUGGGCGCAGCGACAGAAUUUCAAGCGACUGUUUAACAAAAACACAGCUCCCUGCUUAACUCGCAAGAGGAUGUAUAGGGGGUGAGGCCUGAUCAAUGCUGGAACGUUAAAGCUGUCUGUCCAUGGGACUUGAUCUCAUGGGCUGAAUGGCCCAAGCGCCAGUCAAUAUCGGCGGUAACUAUAACCGUCUAAAAGUAGCGUAGUCCCUUGUCGGGUAAGUUCCGACCCGCAUGAAUGGCUUAACGACUUGAAAACUGUCUCAACGAGAAGCUCGGUGAAAAUGCGACACCGGUGAAGACGCCGGUUUCCUGUAGCUAGACGGAAAGACCCCGGAAGCUUUACUGUAAGUUCUUAUUGUUUUAUUGUUUUUGAUGCGUAGCGUAGUGGUGAGGAUUUGAAGCUAUCUUUUCGGAGAUAGUGGAUCCGUCGAUGAAACAGCCAUCUUUAAAAAUAAUAAAACUAACCCUUCCUAAUCAGAGGGGGACAGUUGGAGCCUGGCAGUUUAAGUGGGGCGCUUGCCUCCUAAAAUGUAACGGAGGCGUUCAAAGGUUGGCUAACUCCGGAUGGAAAUCGGAGUGAUACUGUAAAGGGAAAAGCCAGCUUUACUGCAAGACGGAUAUGUCGCGCAGUUGCGAAAGCAGGACUUAGUGAACCGACGGAUUUUAGUAGAAAAUCCGAAGAUCAUCAGACAAAAGCUACUCCGGGGAUAACAGGCUGGUAGUGCCCGCGAGUUCACAUCUACGGCACUGUUCGGCACCUCGAUGUCGGCUCAACUUAUCCUGGGGCUGGAGAAGGUCCCAAGGGUUUGGCUGUUCGCCAAUUAAAAAGUUACGCGAGCUGGGUUCAGACCGUCGUGAGACAGGUCGGUCUUUAUCUGCUACGGGCGUUCGAGUUUUGAAGGGAUUUGGCGAUAGUACGAGAGGACCUCGCUGAAUUAACCUCUGGUCUGCCAGUUGUCCUAUCAAGGGCAUUGCUGGGUAGCUAUGUUGAGUGGGAUAAGCGCUGAAAGCAUCUAAGUGCGAAACCCUCCCUAAGAUUAGAACUCGUUUGAGCUCCCUUGAAGAUGACAAGGUUGAUAGGUUGCAGGUGUAAGCGCUGAGAGGCGUUGAGCUGAGCAAUACUAAUGAGCGAUACCCUUUGCU